rnacentral:rRNA from 1 species
UACGGGGGGGGCAAGCGUUGUUCGGAAUUACUGGGCGUAAAGGGUUCGUAGGUGGCUUGCUAAGUCAGACGUGAAAUCCCUCAGCUUAACUGGGGAACUGCGUCUGAGACUGGCAGGCUUGAGUGCAGGAGAGGAACGCGGAAUUCCAGGUGUAGCGGUGAAAUGCGUAGAUAUCAGGAGGAACACCGAUGGCGAAGGCAGGUCUCUGGGCAUUAACUGACGCUGAGGAGCGAAAGCAUGGGGAGCGAACAGG